AUUCCAGCUCCAAUAGCGUAUAUUAAAGUUGUUGCAGUUAAAAAGCUCGUAGUCGGAUUUCGGGGCCUGCCGAGCGGUCUGCCGAUGGGUAUGCACUGUUCGGCGCGUCCUUCUUUCCGGAGACUAAUUCUACUCUUAACUGAGCGGAAUUGGGAGACGGAUCGUUUACUUUGAAAAAAUCAGAGUGUUUCAAGCAGGCAGCUCGCUCUUGCAUGGAUUAGCAUGGGAUAAUGAAAUAGGACUUUGGUGCUAUUUUGUUGGUUUCGAACACCGAAGUAAUGAUUAACAGGGACAGUCAGGGGCACUCGUAUUCCGCCGAGAGAGGUGAAAUUCUCAGACCAGCGGAAGACGAACCACUGCGAAAGCAUUUGCCAGGGAUGUUUUCAUCA
rnacentral:rRNA from 1 species